rnacentral:tRNA from 1 species
GGCGUACUAGCCCAACGGUAGAGGCAAGCGACUUAAAAUCGCUCAAGUCCCGGUUCGAAUCCGGGGUACGCCA